rnacentral:rRNA from 1 species
AUUGAACGCUGGCGGCAUGCCUUACACAUGCAAGUCGAACGGUAACAGGUCUUCGGAUGCUGACGAGUGGCGAACGGGUGAGUAAUACAUCGGAACGUGCCCGAUCGUGGGGGGAUAACGCAGCGAAAGCUGUGCUAAUACCGCAUACGAUCUACGGAUGAAAGCGGGGGAUCGCAAGACCUCGCGCGGACGGAGCGGCCGAUGGCAGAUUAGGUAGUUGGUGGGAUAAAAGCUUACCAAGCCGACGAUCUGUAGCUGGUCUGAGAGGACGGACCAGCCACACUGGGACUGAGACACGGCCCAGACUCCUACGGGAGGCAGCAGUGGGGAAUUUUGGACAAUGGGCGAAAGCCUGAUCCAGCCAUGCCACGUGCAGGAUGAAGGCCUUCGGGUUGUAAACUGCUUUUGUACGGAACGAAAAGACUCUGGUUAAUACCUAGGGUCCAUGACGGUACCGUAAGAAUAAGCACCGGCUAACUACGUGCCAGCAGCCGCGGUAA